UGGGGGAAUAUUGGACAAUGGGGGGCAACCCUGAUCCAGCCAUGCCGCGUGUGUGAAGAAAGCCUUUUGGUUGUAAAGCACUUUUAAGCGAGGAGGAGGCUCCCAGUAUUUAAUACUACUGGGAGAGGUGGACGUUACUCGCAGAAAGUAGCACCGGCUAACUCUGUGC
rnacentral:rRNA from 1 species